GACGAAGGGGGCUAGCGUUGUUCGGAAUUACUGGGCGUAAAGCGCGUGUAGGCGGUUGUUCAAGUCAGGUGUGAAAGCCUUGAGCUCAACUCAAGAAAUGCACUUGAUACUGGAUGACUAGAGGACCGGAGAGGAUAGUGGAAUUCCCAGUGUAGUGGUGAAAUACGUAGAGAUUGGGAAGAACACCAGUGGCGAAGGCGGCUCUCUGGGCCUUUCCUGACGCUGAGACGCGAAAGCGUGGGGAGCGAACAGG
rnacentral:rRNA from 1 species